rnacentral:rRNA from 1 species
GAUGAACGCUAGCGGCAGGCUUAAUACAUGCAAGUCGAACGGCAGCACGUGUAGCAAUACAUGGUGGCGAGUGGCGCACGGGUGCGUAACACGUAUGUAACCUACCUCUAACAGUGGCAUAACAAUGAGAAAUUAUUGCUAAUUCCGCAUGUGGUUAAUUUGAGGCAUCUUAGAUUAACUAAAGAUUUAUCGGUUAGAGCUGGGCAUGCGUCCCAUUAGCUAGUUGGUGAGGUAACGGCUCACCAAGGCAUCGAUGGGUAGGGGCUCUGAGAGGAUUGUCCCCCACACUGGUACUGAGACACGGACCAGACUCCUACGGGAGGCAGCAGUAAGGAAUAUUGGGCAAUGGACGCAAGUCUGACCCAGCCAUGCCGCGUGAAGGAAGACGGCCCUAUGGGUUGUAAACUUCUUUUCUCAGGGGGUAAACUCCGGAACGUGUUCCGGACUGAAAGUACCUGAGGAAUAAGCAUCGGCUAACUCCGUGCCAGCAGCCG